GGUGACCAGAGGCUUCACGAAUCCCGCUGGGCCUGGUGCCUGGGUGCUGCAUCCUGGGGAGACGAGGGUAAGCGGAGGGUGGGGCUCUCUUUCUUGGGGACCUUGACCCCCCUCCCUUUCUCUCCCCUCCCGGGUUGCCGGGGGCCCAGCCACGUGCAGGCUGUGGCGGGGGAGCCACGGGGGAGAGCGCUGGGUCAGCAGCACCAGGCAGCUCCUGGCUGGCUCCCCGGGUUGGCUUUGCUCAAGGCGAGAGCUGUCAACUCUGCCCUUUUGAAAAUGAGCAACAAAGGGGAAAAGAAAGAAAAGAGAAAGGGAAGUGGGGGAGCCCAGGGUGGGAGUCGGGGGGAGGCCAGGGCUGGGAGAACAGGUGGGGACUAUUUAAACAGAAGGCCUGACUCAGCCGUUUUCUUUCACUGAGUUUCCAAAGGACUGUU
rnacentral:lncRNA from 1 species